UUUCAACCAACACAGGCACCAUCACGACAUUUCGGAUCACAACACUUAUAUGAUGCGGGAUCUUCUUCGUAUUACCCUAUGGCGACAGCAGAAGGAACGCAAGGAUCGCACCACCAGCUUCCUGAUAUGGGUCCUUCUUCGUAUCCACCACCAACAGUUACGUAUGAUAAAUAUGUACCCAAAUAGAUGACUUAUAAGACGAUGAUUAAGAUAUCUUAAUUGCUACUGCAUAGGGGCCACACA